UCAGGACGAACGCUGGCGGCGUGCCUAAUACAUGCAAGUCGAACGGUCUUUCUAUGGAAGCUUGCUUCCACUGAGAAGAUAGUGGCGAACGGGUGAGUAACACGUGGGUAACCUGCCCAUAAGAGGGGGAUAACAUCCGGAAACGGGUGCUAAUACCGCAUAGUUUUCUUGAUCGCAUGAUUGAGAAAGGAAAGACGGCCUUUGUGCUGUCGCUUAUGGAUGGACCCGCGGCGUAUUAGUUAGUUGGUGAGGUAACGGCUCACCAAGACGAUGAUACGUAGCCGACCUGAGAGGGUGAUCGGCCACAUUGGGACUGAGACACGGCCCAAACUCCUACGGGAGGCAGCAGUAGGGAAUCUUCCGCAAUGGACGAAAGUCUGACGGAGCAACGCCGCGUGAGUGAAAGAAGGUUUUCGGAUCGUAAAACUCUGUUGUCAGAGAAGAACAAGUUGGAGAGUAACUGCUCCAGCCUUGACGGUAUCUGACCAGAAAGCCACGGCUAACUACGUGCCAGCCGCCGC
rnacentral:rRNA from 1 species